rnacentral:rRNA from 1 species
UACGUAGGGUGCGAGCGUUGUCCGGAAUUACUGGGCGUAAAGAGCUCGUAGGUGGUUUGUCGCGUUGUUCGUGAAAACUCACAGCUUAACUGUGGGCGUGCGGGCGAUACGGGCAGACUGGAGUACUGCAGGGGAGACUGGAAUUCCUGGUGUAGCGGUGGAAUGCGCAGAUAUCAGGAGGAACACCGGUGGCGAAGGCGGCAUCCUGGACCGACACUGACGCUGAGGAGCGAAAGCCAGGGGAGCAAACGGG